ACAGAGGCGAUAAGACUAUCAUUUUCGGCGCAUGAUACUUCAUCUAUCCCGUCCAUUUCGGAGUCUACAACUGGUGCUUUGACUGCGCAGACGAGCACCUUUUCCAGACACCUCGGAUCAGGAUUGGAAUCCGUGUCGGGUUGGGCAGGUGGCAAUUGAGAAUUGGGGUUUGCCGCGGGACCAGCGGGAUUGCGCGAAAAAGUGGGAUCUUUGACAUUAUGUAGCCAUACUAGAGGUCGAUGGUCAGUGACCAAUGUAAAUUGUCGGCCGUACAGCCUCGUUCAAGGUUCUAGAAGCGUAUGCGAUAGGAAGAUCCUUUCCUACUGGUCCCUGGCUCAAGAUGACACCUACCGCAAAGUCGGAG